AAAUCAUGAUGUGGGCAGUUUCUGAGUAGACCUUUGUAUCUCUCUCAUGCCUCGUAUAAGGACUCUCAAGCUUGUUGCUCAAAUUUAGCAAUUGCUCUCUUCAGUUU